AGGAGACCCUUGCCUUUUCGAGCACCUGUUUGUUUCCUCGGCAGGCCCGCCUGCCAACGGGGACCAUUUAAACUCUUGCAAUCAACCUGAACAAAAUCGUCUGAACAAAAAAAUCUAAAUCAAAACUUUCAACAACGGAUCUCUUGGUUCUGGCAUCGAUGAAGAACGCAGCGAAAUGCGAUAAGUAGUGUGAAUUGCAGAAUUCAGUGAAUCAUCGAAUCUUUGAACGCACAUUGCGCCCUAUGGUAUUCCGUAGGGCAUGCCUGUUCGAGCGUCAUUUACACCUUCAAGCUCCGCUUGGUGUUGGGUGACUGUGGCCCCUCGGGGCCACUCGCCUCAAAGUCAUUGGCGGCCGGUUUGUAGGCUUCGAGCGCAGCACAUGUGCGUGCUUCGUGCCUCGCGGAUCGGCUCCCAGAAGCUAAAUCUCACAUUUUUGACCUCAAAUCAGGUAGGGAUACC
rnacentral:rRNA from 1 species